rnacentral:rRNA from 1 species
AUUGAACGCUGGCGGCAGGCCUAACACAUGCAAGUCGAGCGGAGCGGCGGACGGGUGAGUAAUACCUAUGAAUCUGCCUGGUAGUGGGGGAGAACGACCGGAAACGGGCGCUAAUACCGAAUACUAUCAGAAGAGGCUAGGUCGGAUUGGCUAGUUGGUGGGGUAAAGGCCUACAAAGGGGAAGAUCCGGACCUGGUCUGAGAGGAUGAUCAGGCACACUGGAACUGCGACACGGUCCAGACUCCUACGGGAGGCAGCAGUGGGGAAUAUUGGACAAUGGGCGAAAGCCUGAUCCAGCCAUGCCGCGUGUGUGAAGAAGGUCUUCGGAUUGUAAAGCACUUUAAGUUGGGAGGCGUUACCAACAGAAUAAGCACCGGCUAACUUCGUGCCAGCCGCCGCGGUAAUUC